ACCCGGAAUCACUGGGAGAAAAGGGUUCGUAGGCGGUUUAAUAAGUUGGAUAUGAAAGACCGGAGCUCAACUUCGUGUUUGUGUUCAAAACUGUUAAACUAGAAUCAGGGAGAGGUAAGUAGAAUUCUAAGUGUAGGGGUGCAAUCCGUAGAUACUUAGAGGAAUACCAAAAGCGAAGGCAACUUACUGGAACUGUAUUGACGCUGAGGAACGAAAGCGUGGGUAGCGAAAAGGAUUAGAUACCCUUGUAGUCCACGCCCUAAACGAUGAUAACUAAGUGUUGCUCCUAGAGGGCAGUGCUGAAGCUAACGCAAUAAGUUAUCCACCUGAGGAGUACGGUCGCAAGAUUAAAACUCAAAGGAAUAGACGGGGACCCACACAAGCAGUGGAUCACGUGGUUUAAUUCGACAAUAAACGGGGAACCUUACCCAGACUUGACAUCCUAAGAAUCUUCUAGAGAUAGAAGAGUGCCUUUAUUGGAACUUAGUGACAGGUGCUGCAUGGUUGUCGUCAGGUC
rnacentral:ncRNA from 2 species